GAUGAACGCUGGCGGCGUGCUUAACACAUGCAAGUCGAACGGAAAGGCCCAAGCUUGCUUGGGUACUCGAGUGGCGAACGGGUGAGUAACACGUGGGUGAUCUGCCCUGCACUUCGGGAUAAGCCUGGGAAACUGGGUCUAAUACCGGAUAGGACCACAUUUUGGAUGGUGUGGUGGAAAGUUUUUCGGUGUGGGAUGAGCUCGCGGCCUAUCAGCUUGUUGGUGGGGUAAUGGCCUACCAAGGCGUCGACGGGUAGCCGGCCUGAGAGGGUGUACGGCCACAUUGGGACUGAGAUACGGCCCAGACUCCUACGGGAGGCAGCAGUGGGGAAUAUUGCACAAUGGGCGCAAGCCUGAUGCAGCGACGCCGCGUGGGGGAUGACGGCCUUCGGGUUGUAAACUCCUUUCGCUAGGGACGAAGCGUUACGUGACGGUACCUGGAGAAGAAGCACCGGCUAACUACGUG
rnacentral:rRNA from 1 species